AGAGUUUGAUCAUGGCUCAGGAUGAACGCUAGCGGCAGGCUUAACACAUGCAAGUCGAGGGGCAGCGAGUAGAUUGCUUGCAAUCUAUGUCGGCGACCGGCGCACGGGUGCGUAACGCGUAUGCAACCUACCCAUUACAGGGGGAUAACACUGAGAAAUCGGUACUAAUACCCCAUAACAUCCAGGGAGGCAUCUUCUUGGGUUGAAAACUCCGGUGGUAAUGGAUGGGCAUGCGUUGUAUUAGUUAGUUGGUGGGGUAACGGCUCACCAAGACGACGAUACAUAGGGGGACUGAGAGGUUAACCCCCCACAUUGGUACUGAGACACGGACCAAACUCCUACGGGAGGCAGCAGUGAGGAAUAUUGGUCAAUGGACGCAAGUCUGAACCAGCCAUGCCGCGUGCAGGAAGACGGCUCUAUGAGUUGUAAACUGCUUUUGUACGAGGGUAAACGCAGAUACGUGUAUCUGUCUGAAAGUAUCGUACGAAUAAGGAUCGGCUAACUCCGUGCCAGCAGCCGCGGUAAUACGGAGGAUUCAAGCGUUAUCCGGAUUUAUUGGGUUUAAAGGGUGCGUAGGCGGUCGGAUAAGUUAGAGGUGAAAUCCCGGGGCUCAACUUCGGAAUUGCCUCUGAUACUGUUCGGCUAGAGAGUAGUUGCGGUAGGCGGAAUGUAUGGUGUAGCGGUGAAAUGCUUAGAGAUCAUACAGAACACCGAUUGCGAAGGCAGCUUACCAAGCUACUUCUGACGUUGAGGCACGAAAGCGUGGGGAGCAAACAGGAUUAGAUACCCUGGUAGUCCACGCAGUAAACGAUGAUAACUCGUUGUCGGCGAUACAAUGUCGGUGACUAAGCGAAAGCGAUAAGUUAUCCACCCGGGGAGUACGUUCGCAAGAAUGAAACUCAAAGGAAUUGACGGGGGCCCGCACAAGCGGAGGAACAUGUGGUUUAAUUCGAUGAUACGCGAGGAACCUUACCCGGGCUUGAAAGUUAGUGACAGAUCUGGAAACAGGUCUUCCCUUCGGGGCACGAAACUAGGUGCUGCAUGGUUGUCGUCAGCUCGUGCCGUGAGGUGUCGGGUUAAGUCCCAUAACGAGCGCAACCCCUACCGUCAGUUGCCAGCAGGUCAAGCUGGGCACUCUGGCGGGACUGCCGGUGUAAGCCGAGAGGAAGGUGGGGAUGACGUCAAAUCAGCACGGCCCUUACGUCCGGGGCUACACACGUGUUACAAUGGCAGGUACAGAGGGCAGCUACCCAGCGAUGGGAUGCGAAUCUCGAAAGCCUGUCUCAGUUCGGAUUGGAGGCUGAAACCCGCCUCCAUGAAGUUGGAUUCGCUAGUAAUCGCGCAUCAGCCAUGGCGCGGUGAAUACGUUCCCGGGCCUUGUACACACCGCCCGUC
rnacentral:rRNA from 1 species